GGCGAGAUGGCCGAGCGGUCUAAGGCGCUGUGUUAAGGUGACUCCCUCCUUCGAGCAUCAAGGAAGAGCUCAUCCGCAGUCUUCGGACGUGGGUUCGAAUCCCACUCUCGUCA